UAAGGAAUAUUGGACAAUGGACGCAAGUCUGAUCCAGCCAUGCCGCGUGAAGGAUGAAUGCCCUCUGGGUUGUAAACUUCUUUUAUAGGGGAAGAAAGAUACUUUUUUUAAGGUAGUUGACGGUACCCUAUGAAUAAGCACCGGCUAACUCCGUGCCAGCAGCCGCGGUAAUACGGAGGGUGCAAGCGUUAUCCAGAUUUACUGGGUUUAACGGGUGCGUAGGCGGGCAUGUAAGUCAGUGGUGAAAUACCGGAGCUUAACUUCGGAACUGCCAUUGAUACUAUAUGUCUUGAAUAUUGUGGAGGUAAGCGGAAUAUGUCAUGUAGCGGUGAAAUACAGAGAUAUGACAUAGAACACCGAUUGCGGAGGCAGCUUGCUACGCAAAUAUUGACGCUGAGGCACGAAAGCGUGGGGAUCAAACA
rnacentral:rRNA from 1 species